rnacentral:lncRNA from 1 species
GGAACAAGUGUAGACAGCAGCAGUUAGCUCAGGUUGCACCCUAGGCCUACUCUUUCCCAAAGGCUGCUGGGGCUAAGCCUAGGAAGAAAGGAGGAUCCACGGGCGUGGGACAGCAUGAGAUGAGUGCCCAAAACAGUGAGAGAUAGACACAGGCAGUUCUCAGAGGCUCCUGGUGGCUCAUCCCUGUCCCCUUCUCCAUAGGACACUGAAGGGGAAGCUGGCCCGGCAGCACCCAGAGGCCUUCAGCCACAUCCCAGAGGGUUCACUCCUAGAGGACGAAGAUGAAGACCCUGUUCCACCCAGUAUCACCACAACCAUCGCCACCUCAGAGCAGAGCACAGGGUCCUGUGACACCAGCCCUGACACUGCCUCUCCAUCCUUCAGUCCUGGCUUUGAGGACCUAUCACACAUUCGACCUGGCUCUCCUGCCAUCAAUGGCCACAGCCAAACAGAUGAUGAGGAAGAAACACGUGAAGAAUAACCUCUCUCCCAACCUCCCAGAAAGGCCCAGGGCAGCAGUGGUUCUCCUAGGGUCACAGUCAGUCAGCUUUGCUGCUCCUUUCUUUUGUAGGCAGGGUUCCUAAUUCCUGCCACUCCCCGUAAGAGCAGGACUUCCUAUGCCAGCAUGUAUGUCUAGCUGGGGCAGUGGGGCUGGGUAGAGGUAACCUUGAAAUCAGCCUGGGCCAGCUUUGAACAGUGCUUCUAAGGUCUCCAGAGACCAAAGCCAGAUUGUCAUCCCCCACACCCUGGGUGGGCACAGGAGGGCUGAGCUUGUUCCUACCCACUGGCAGCUGCUGAUUCAACUAUGUCUCCUUUCC